UCCCAUUUUUUUGAUCCUAUUCCUGCAAAAAUUGUUCAGAAAUUUUUGUAUUCAACAACCCAUUUUGGGUCUGGAUGUGUUUUGUGAUGUGUGAUUACAAUUUGGUUAUGCUUGUUCCCAUGUGUUGUUGUGAAUUGUGGGUUUUGUGUUCAUGGUGAGUAGCUGUGUGAGGUUAAAUUUGAUGUAUCAUUUAAUUGUUAGUGUGACCUUGUGUGGUGUUUAUGACACAAUUUGGUAGGAGUUUUUAGGGUUAUUGGGUG
rnacentral:lncRNA from 1 species